rnacentral:rRNA from 1 species
CGGACGGGUGAGUAACGCGUGGGGAACCUGCCCUGUACCGGGGGAUAGCAGCCGGAAACGGCUGAUAAUACCGCAUAAGCGCACGAAUGUCGCAUGACAUGGUGUGAAAAACUCCGGUGGUAUAGGAUGGACCCGCGUCUGAUUAGCCAGUUGGUGGGGUAAAAGCCUACCAAAGCGAAGAUCAGUAGCCGAGUUGAGAGACUGACCGGCCACAUUGGGACUGAGACACGGCCCAGACUCCUACGGGAGGCAGCAGCG